rnacentral:rRNA from 1 species
GCCUUCAUGAAGCUGGAAUUGCUAGUAAUGGCAGGUCAGCAUACUGCCGUGAAUACGUUCCCGGGCCCUGUACACACCGCCCGUCACACCAUGAGAGUUGGAAAUACCCGAAGCCUGUGAGCUAACAGUAAUGAGGCAGCAGUCGAAGGUAGAGCCAAUGAUUGGGGUGAAGUCGUAACAAGGUACC